AUGAACGCUAGCUACAGGCUUAACACAUGCAAGUCGAGGGGCAGCAUGAUCUAAGCUUGCUUAGAUUGAUGGCGACCGGCGCACGGGUGAGUAACGCGUAUCCAACCUUCCCUAUAGUAGAGGAUAGCCCGGCGAAAGUCGGAUUAAUACUCUAUGUUUUCCAAUGCAGACAUCUAAGUUGGAACAAAGGUUUACCGCUAUAGGAUGGGGAUGCGUCUGAUUAGGUAGUCGGCGGGGUAACGGCCCACCGAGCCAACGAUCAGUAGGGGUUCUGAGAGGAAGGUCCCCCACAUUGGAACUGAGACACGGUCCAAACUCCUACGGGAGGCAGCAGUGAGGAAUAUUGGUCAAUGGGCGAGAGCCUGAACCAGACCCAAGUAGCGUGCAGGAAGACGGCCCUAUGGGUUGUAAACUGCUUUUAUCGGGGGAUAAAGUGAGGGACGUGUCCCUUAUUGUAGGUACCCGAUGAAUAAGGACCGGCUAAUUCCGUGCCAGCCGCCGC
rnacentral:rRNA from 1 species